rnacentral:rRNA from 1 species
AGUGAACGCUGGCGGCAGGCCUAAUACAUGCAAGUCGAACGGCAGCACAGCAGAGCUUGCUCUGUGGGUGGCGAGUGGCGGACGGGUGAGGAAUACGUGGGAAUCUGCCCAGUCGUGGGGGAUAACGUAGGGAAACUUACGCUAAUACCGCAUGCGCCCUUCGGGGGAAAGCCGGGGGACCUUCGGGCCUGGCGCGAUUGGAUGAGCCCACGUCGGAUUAGCUAGUUGGCGGGGUAAAGGCCCACCAAGGCGACGAUCCGUAGCUGGUCUGAGAGGAUGAUCAGCCACACUGGAACUGAGACACGGUCCAGACUCCUACGGGAGGCAGCAGUAGGGAAUAUUGGACAAUGGGCGCAAGCCUGAUCCAGCCAUGCCGCGUGAGUGAAGAAGGCCCUCGGGUUGUAAAGCUCUUUGUCCGGAAAGAAAGCGCCGGGUUAAUACCC